AUGAUAUGCCACUUAUCUUUGUAUCUAAGGUUGCGUUAGUGUCCUUGAUCACCAGGCGAUGAGAUUACUGUGCAUAAAUCUAGACCCAACGCAAUCCGGACAUGACAAAAUUCUGUAAAAGUAGAUUAUCACACAUCAAAUGACAACAUUAUACUCAUAUUUCUAUAAUUGACGUGAUUAGGUUGUUUAUAGUACAGUUCUCUACAAAAUCAAUUCUCUGCAAAAUCAAUAUGCAGAGAAGGGCAGAUGUGGAGAAAUUGCUUCAAAAUCAAUUUUUCGAUCUUUAGGAAUUCGUGAUUUAAAUAUGCAGAGAAUGAUUCUAUUCAUUAUCUAGAGUGGCGGUUGCUUAAAGUUCAUGGGGCAAAUUUUUCCACAAACUACAUCUACUGUCAUUACUGUCUAAUUCUUAAAGAUUGAUUUUAUUCUACCCUUUAACUUUGUUAUUCAAAGCUGAGAAACUCAAAACAGACCAAGACAAAACCAAUGUACAUUUAUGUUUCUCAAUGAAAAAUAAACGUACCCUUUUAACUUUUGUAGGAUUCUCAAUGAAAAAUAAACUAGUUGAACUAGUUGAGAUAUUUUCAAGAAGAAUAACUUAGCAGCGAGAAUGUGAAAAUGGGUGGUGCUAGUAACAUAUAGUUUUCCAUUGGGCCAAAUAUCGUAAGGCCUAAACUCAGAAAACAAGUAGCCCAAACUUGACUUUUGACCCUUUCAAUCGGCAAACCCUAGAACGUUUUCUUCCUCAUCCUUAUAUAAAUUCACCGUCUCAAUUCUGCUGCUAAACGCAAAUCAAUUAGCUUCCAUGGCAGCAGCCGCGUGGUUUCACACACCUAAUUCCAAAUCGUUUUCCUCUAUUCUCAUGUCUAUUUAAUUUUGCUGCAUAUGUUGAUAAUUUAGAACAAUUCAUGGAUGCGUGCACAAUAAGCCGAUGGUCUGGAUUUGAAAAUGAAGGAAUCAUGGUUGUGUGCACGCAAAUUGAUAUCGUUAGGUCCGCAUGUCUGCUCUCUCUGAUUCCUGAAUUGAUUUGAGGGCCUGGUCCACGGUGUAGAUCCAAUGGACUCAAUGCAAGAAAGUGGAAAGUUUUGACGUUAAAAAAGAAGAAGAAUUAUUUGAUACCGCCACUCGUGUCACCUGAUACGGGCCGUGUCAAAAGGAAUGCCAAGAAAGUAUAAGAAAUGCCCAAAAUUGUGGCUUGACACGAUCGCCCGUGUCAGUUUAACAUGGUCGUGUCAGGUCACUUGGGGUGUGUUAGCAAGGAAAUAACAAAAUAAUGGCCUGACACAGCCGCCAAGAGAUUUUCAUUAUAUUAGAAUUCAGCAGACUUUAGUUGCAGGGAUGUUUUGGAGAUUUCCACCUUCCGCCAAGAGAUUUUCACUAUAUGAGAAGAGUUUUUACAAGAGCGGAAGCCAUUGAAGAUCUAAAUCAUUCAAUGUUAGGGGGAUAUCCCUGAUUUAGAAUUGUAAUGACUUUGAGUUUAUAUUUGCAUUUAUAAUAUUAUUCUUAUGGUAA